rnacentral:rRNA from 1 species
AGCGAACGCUGGCGGCAGGCUUAACACAUGCCAGUCGAGCGGGCACUUCGGUGUCAGCGGCAGACGGGUGAGUAACACGUGGGAACGUACCCUUCGGUUCGGAAUAACGCUGGGAAACUAGCGCUAAUACCGGAUACGCCCUUUUGGGGGAAGGUUUACUGACGAAGGAUCGGCCCGCGUCUGAUUAGCUAGUUGGUUGGGUAAUGGCCUACUAAGGCGCCGAUCAGUAGCUGGUCUGAGAGGAUGAUCAGCCACACUGGGACUGAGACACGGCCCAGACUCCUACGGGAGGCAGCAGUGGGGAAUAUUGGACAAUGGGGGCAAGCCUGAUCCAGCCAUGCCGCGUGAGUGAUGAAGGCCUUAGGGUUGUAAAGCUCUUUUGUCCGGGACGAUAAUGACGGUACCGGAAGAAUAAGCCCCGGCUAACUUCGUG